rnacentral:rRNA from 1 species
CAUGCAAGUCGAGGGGUAUAGUUCUUCGGAGCUAGAGACCGGCGCACGGGUGCGUAACGCGUAUGCAAUCUACCUUUUACAGAGGGAUAGCCCAGAGAAAUUUGGAUUAAUACCUCAUAGUAUGUGAGAAUCGCAUGGUUUUCACAUUAAAGUUCCAACGGUAAAAGAUGAGCAUGCGUCCCAUUAGCUAGAUGGUAAGGUAACGGCUUACCAUGGCAACGAUGGGUAGGGGUCCUGAGAGGGAGAUCCCCCACACUGGUACUGAGACACGGACCAGACUCCUACGGGAGGCAGCAGUGAGGAAUAUUGGACAAUGGGCGCAAGCCUGAUCCAGCCAUGCCGCGUGCAGGAUGACGGUCCUAUGGAUUGUAAACUGCUUUUGUACAGGAAGAAACACUCCCUCGUGAGGGAGCUUGACGGUACUGUAAGAAUAAGGAUCGGCUAACUCCGUGCCAGCAGCCGCGGUAAUACGGAGGAUCCAAGCGUUAUCCGGAAUCAUUGGGUUUAAAGGGUCCGUAGGCGGUUUAAUAAGUCAGUGGUGAAAGCCCAUCGCUCAACGGUGGAACGGCCAUUGAUACUGUUAAACUUGAAUUAUUAGGAAGUAACUAGAAUAUGUAGUGUAGCGGUGAAAUGCUUAGAGAUUACAUGGAAUACCAAUUGCGAAGGCAGGUUACUACUAAUGGAUUGACGCUGAUGGACGAAAGCGUGGGUAGCGAACAGGAUUAGAUACCCUGGUAGUCCACGCCGUANACGAUGGAUACUAGCUGUUGGGAGCAAUCUCAGUGGCUAAGCGAAAGUGAUAAGUAUCCCACCUGGGGAGUACGUUCGCAAGAAUGAAACUCAAAGGAAUUGACGGGGGCCCGCACAAGCGGUGGAGCAUGUGGUUUAAUUCGAUGAUA